rnacentral:rRNA from 1 species
UAGGGAAUCUUCGGCAAUGGGGGCGAACCCUGACCGAGCAACGCCGCGUGAGUGAAGAAGAUUUUCGGAUCGUAAAGCUCUGUUGUAAGAGAAGAACGUGUGUGAGAGUGGAAAGUUCACACAGUGACGGUAACUUACCAGCAAGUCACGGCUAACUACGUGCCAG